rnacentral:lncRNA from 1 species
CAAAGUCGGCUCUGCCAGACCAAGGAAGGAGCUGGAAAUCGUUUCUUAGCAAGAACAAUGAAAGAAACCAGAAAUAUUUAAUCUGGAAAAGAGAAUACGUGAUAGCUGUCUUCCUUUAUUUUUUUUCACAUGGGAGAUUUUACUACUUCAGAGGACACGUUUAUUCAGAGGACACAUUUAAGGACAACGGAUGAAAGUCUAAGAGAUGCAGAACUUAGUUCAAUAAAGCAUUCUAUCAAUUAGAACUCUGAAGAACAAAGUAGGUAGGGUAGUGAAUUCCUUCAUCACUGGAAAUGUUCAAGUGGAAGUUAGGUCAUCACUUGUUAGGGAUAGUGCAGAAAGGAUCCUUGCACUGGGUGGCAGUUUGGAAUAGAUGACUUUUUUUUUUUUUUUUUUUUUUUGAGACGGAGUCUCGCUCUGUCACCCAGGCUGGAGUGCAAUGGUGCAAUCUCGGCUCACUGCAACCUCUGCCUCCCGGGUUCAAGCAGUUCUCCUGCCUCAGCCUCCCGAAUAGCUGGGAUUACAGGCAAGCGCCACCACGCCCAGCUAAUUUUUGUAUUUUUAGUAGAGACGGGGUUUCACCGUGUUGGCCAGGCUGGUCUUGAACUCCUGACCUCAGGUGAUCCAUCCUUCUCAGCCUCCCAAAGUGCUGGGAUUACAGGCGUGAGCCACUGUGCCCAGCUGGAAUAGAUGACUUUUAAACCAUCUUCCAACGCUAGAUGCAUGGUACUUUCUGAACAAGGAAGAACCUGUUUAUAGUUAAGCCAACCUUAACUUCUCAGAGCUGCCUCUGCCAGAGGCCAAUGCUUCAUGAGCGCUGAAAGAUGGCACAGACCUGACUUAAUCUAAAGCACAUGGCUGGAACUUGACUAGCCUUUGGAAAUGCUGUGGGUGGAAAAACAAAACAAGCAAAAAGCCAACCCUCAUCUGACUGCUCUCAGCUCACUGUGUAGCUUUGGAACAACGAUGGUAAUACUAAUAGUAAUUUAUUAUUAUUACUAUUAUUUAUUACUAUUAUACUAUUUAUUACUAUUAUUGGUAACAGAGUAAUAAUCAGUCUCUUUCUAAACUUGUAAAUCAGUAUAAUUUUGGCCACUGCAGUGAUGUCUACAUCUAGUCAAAACUGGUGUUAAGUGGCAAAUGGUUCCCCAUAGCCAUUGUGUGGGGUGUUUUCUCUCAAGGGCACCACAUGUUCACUAGGACUCUGUGAUGCUCCCCUGGGGUUCCUCACCUUAGUUGUAGGAAUAAACCAACUACAGUAGUUUAUUAAUUAUUAUAAAGUUGUGAAACAAACAUAAGGAAUCCCAUUCUUGUCCAGUCUAAUUCCAGUUUGCUGUUGGGGGUUUGCAUUUAUUGUUAGCAUUUACUCAGCAUUUAGUGAAGUGUUUUCUGUCAUAAUUGAGUUCCUGCUUAUUUUACUACUGAUGUUUUGUUUUAGUCCUUUCAAUACCUGUCUUUAUUUUCUUCCUGCCCCAAUUGUAAUUGUAUCUCAAUUACAGUUCUGUCUUCAGAACUGAAAUUGAUUACUUCCUUGGGUGGUUCUCUGAGAAAUAGGU